rnacentral:rRNA from 1 species
CUUUUCAUGUAUUGCUGAGGUUUGAUCAUGGCUCAGAUUGAACGCUUGCAGGAUGCUUUAAGCACACGCAAAGUCGAACGGCAGCAUGGACUUCCGUCUGGUGAAGUAGGUGGCGAACGGGGUGAGUAAUCGUGCAUCGGAACGUCAGAAGGUGAUAACUACGCGAAAGCGUGCGGGCUAUUACCGCAAUACCCUUCGGGGAAAGCGGGGACUCGGCCUCGCACCAGGAGCGGCCGCCGAUAACGAUUGAAGGCUGGUGGGUAACGGCUCACCAUAGCGACGAUCCGUAGCCGGUUUGAGAGACGACCAGCCACACUGCGACUGAGACACGGCCCAGAUCUACGCAAGGAGGCAGCAGUGGGGAAUUAAUAUCGUAAGGGGAAAUCCCUGAUCCAGCCAUCCUGCGUGUGCGACGAAGGCCUUCGGGUUGUAAAGCACUUUUUGGCAGGAAAAGAAACGUUUAAUCCCAGAGCUAACUUUGAACUGCAUUUCAACUACCGAGCUAGAGUGUCAGAGGGAGGUGGAAUCUCGCGUGUAGCAGUGAAAUGCGUAGAUAUGCGGAGGAACACCGAUGGCGAAGGCAGCCCUCCUGGGGAUAACACUGACGCCUCAUGCACGAAAGCGGUGGGGAGCAAACAGGAUUAGAUACCUGGUAGUCCACGCCCCAAACGAUGUCAACUAGCUGUUGGGGCCUUCGGGCCUUGGUAGCGAAACGCUAACGCGGUGAAGUUGACCGCCUGGGGAGUACGGUCGCAAGAUUAAAAACUCAAAGCGAAUUGACGGGGACCCGUCAAUGCUGGUAGAUGAUGUGGAUUAAUUCGUGGAUGCAACGCGAAAACCUUACCUACCCUUGCUGACAUGUCUGAAUCCCGAAGAGAUUUGGGAUGCUCGCAAGACUGUGAACACAGGUGCUGCACGGCUGUCGUCAGCUCGUGUCGUGCAGAUGUUGGGUUAAGUCCCGCACGGUGGGGAUGACGUCAAGUUCUCAUGGCCCUGCGGGUAGGGCUUCACACGUCAUACAAUGCACGGGGACAGAGGGGUCGCCAACCCGCGAGGGGGAGCCAAUCCCAGAAACCUGAUCGGUCCGACGCAGGCGUCUGCACCGACUGGCGUGAAGUCGGAAUCGCCAUAAUCGCGGAUCAGCAUGUCGCGGUGAAUACGUUCCUGGGUCUUGUACACACUGCCGCAUCGGUCACACCAUGGGAGCGCGGUUUUACCAGCAGAAGGUUAGCCUAACCGUAAGAGGCGAUUACCACGGUAGGAUUCAUGACUUGGGGUGAAGUCGUGGUCAGCGUAA